UACGGGGGGAGCAAGCGUUGUUCGGAAUUACUGGCGUAAAGGCGUGCGCAGGCGGUGAUGUAAGACAGAUGUGAAAUCCCCGGGCUCAACCUGGGAACUGCAUUUGUGACUGCAUCGCUGGAGUGCGGCAGAGGGGGAUGGAAUUCCGCGUGUAGCAGUGAAAUGCGUAGAUAUGCGGAGGAACACCGAUGGCGAAGGCAAUCCCCUGGGCCUGCACUGACGCUCAUGCACGAAAGCCAGGGAGCGAACGGG
rnacentral:rRNA from 1 species